UACCCGCUGAACUUAAGCAUAUCAAUAAGCGGAGGAAAAGAAACCAACAGGGAUUACCUUAGUAACGGCGAGUGAAGCGGUAAAAGCUCAAAUUUGAAAUCUUCGGAAUUGUAAUUUGACGGGUAGAAUUUGUUUUUUAAAGAAAGUUCACUGGAAUGUGACGCCACAGAGGGUGAUAGCCCCGUUAACUAAAGAAACUACUUAAUUCUAUUCCUAAGAGUCGGGUUGUUUGGGAAUGCAGCUCAAAGUGGGUGGUAAAUUCCAUCUAAAGCUAAAUAUUGGCGAGAGACCGAUAGCGAACAAGUACAGUGAUGGAAAGAUGAAAAGAACUUUGAAAAGAGAGUGAAAUAGUACGUGAAAUUGUUGAAAGGGAAGGGAAAGGGGGAGAUAAUUCAAGCUAAUACUUCGGUGUUGCUUGACCACAUC
rnacentral:rRNA from 1 species